AUGAGGAACACUAAGGGAAAGAGGAGGGACACCAAUAUAUGUUCUCUAGGCCUUUUAGAAAACAUGGAGUUGUUCCUUUGGCCACAACCAUGCAAAUCUACAAGAAAGGUUAUGUUGCAGACAUCAAGGGAAUGGGAACUGUUCAAAAAUGCCCCACACAUGCAUUCACUGAAUGCCCCACACAUGUUACCACGGCAAAACUGGAAGAGCCUAUCAACAGUGUUCUUGGACACAAACAAAUUAAAGGCAAGAUUCUUGCUGAGAGAAUUAAUGUGUUUAUUGAGCAUAUUAAGCAGUCUAAGGGCCAAGAUAACUUCCUGAAGCAUGUAAAGGAAAAGGAUCAGAAAAAGAAGGAAGCAAAAGAGAAAAGUACCUGAAGUGCCAGCCUUCUCCACUUUGUGAAGCUCACUUUGUGAGAACCAAUGGAAAGAAGCCUAAGUUGCUUGGAACCUAUUCCCUACGAAUUCAUAGCAU
rnacentral:lncRNA from 1 species